rnacentral:rRNA from 1 species
CAAGUCGAACGCCCCGCUAGGGGAGUGGCGGACGGGUGAGUAACGCGUGGGAAUUUUCCUCAAGGUACGGAACAACUCAGGGAAACUUGGGCUAAUACCGCAUGAUGCAGCGAUGCCAAAGAUUUAUCGCCUUGGGAUAAGCCCGCGUCAGAUUAGGUAGUUGGUGGGGUAACGGCCUACCAAGCCUGCGAUCUGUAGCUGGUCUGAGAGGACGAUCAGCCACAUUGGGACUGAGACACGGCCCAAACUCCUACGGGAGGCAGCAGUGGGGAAUCUUGCGCAAUGGGCGAAAGCCUGACGCAGCUAUGCCGCGUGAAUGAUGAAGGUCUUAGGAUUGUAAAGUUCUUUAGCCUGUGACGAUGAUGACGGUAACAGGAGAAUAAGCCCCGGCUAACUUCGUGCCAGCAGCCGCGGUAAUACGAAGGGGGCUAGCGUUGUUCGGAAUUACUGGGCGUAAAGCGCGCGUAGGCGGUUUUACAAGCCAGAGGUGAAAUGCCUGAGCUUAACUUGGGAAUUGCCUUUGGAACUGUAUGACUUCGAGGACGAGAGAGGUGAGUGGAAUUCCCAGUGUAGAGGUGAAAUUCGUAGAUAUUGGGAAGAACACCGGUGGCGAAGGCGGCUCACUGGCUCGUUUCUGACGCUGCAGCGCGAAAGCGUGGGGAUCAAACAGGAUUAGAUACCCUGGUAGUCCACGCUGUAAACGAUGAGUGCUAGGCGUCGGCACGCUUGCGUGUCGGUGCCGCAGCUAACGCGUGAAGCACUCCGCCUGGGGAGUACGGUCGCAAGAUAAAACUCAAAGGAAUUGACGG